GGGACUCCGGUGAAGUACUGGCCAUUCCAGAGCCCGCUACUCCAAUAGAUUUCAGAUCCAUUCCACAGGAUAACAUACUGGUUGGAGCCGUCAGGGUCCAUGCUCUGAGCGAAAGGCCCGGUCGCAGGGUUCUCCGGGUUCUCCCACGAGGUGAUGCUCUGGUACUCCCCUGUGAUCUUGUUCACUCCAAGCCAUCCUCCCGGCAUCCAAGUGUCGGUGGGAUGAUCGAAGCUCUGCCAGAGUAGAGUGGACGAGUUCGACCCAUCUUUCAGCACAAGAUUUCCGGUGUCGAGAAGGACCGCCACGCUGGCGUUCGAGGUUGAUAUGGUGGAGUUGGAAGACCAGACGGGGACUUUGAAGCUGUUGAGGACGACUAAAUUGCCAUCAUCGGAGAGACGCAACUCUGCACCGGAGGCGUUGGAGACGGGGUUGUCUCUGUUUGCCACCCAAACAACAGUCUGCCCCGGGAGUUUCUUGUACCAUAUGCCUACGUAGUAGUUGCCGGAGUUACCUGGAGUGAAGAAACCCAGCUCAAAGUUGCCUUCUUUGGCGAUCAUCGUCUGGCUUCCAGAGAGAGAUUGACCGAUAGAAAUGGUAUCGCUUGCCGAAGAGCGAUGGAUAGGUUGAGAGAAGAAGAGAAGGGAAAGAAGGACCGGAAGAGAGAAGAUGUUGGUGUCCAUAGCCAAGUGACGUGCGACGAAAACCAUUUGGUUGCAGAAUGCUUAGCUUUAUGGACGGUCCCUUAAAUUCUUUCUACCCACCGUGACAGAUGUCUAAUGCGCAUUCAAGAGAGAAAACUAUAGCUUACACGUCUUCAUCAGCAUGCAACAUCCACCAAGACAUCCAAUCACACACCUUGGCAAAUGGCUACGGUGGACUCUGUUGGCGAUCCUUCGUUCUUGUUCUUUGACUGGUUAAAAGAUCAAUCUUCUAGACUCCGGCCAAGCAUUUCUUAAAGCCACGCAGGGUUAAAUUAAAGGUCUGAAGGAAAGCCAACUGAUGGAGUGCUUAUCGUAGAUGACGUGAUGGACUAAACACUAUACCACACAUUCUGGGAGGCUAACUCUUAUGAAUGCAUUAUCGUCCGGAAAACAUUGCAAGGAAGCUUUCUUUCGUUCAAGUCAGUUGGGGAUGGAAAACAGAGAAUUGAUAAGACACUUACAAGAUACCAAAUGCACACAAAUGCACACAGACUCUCUAUCUUUCUCUGCUUGCUAUCUCAAUAUCUCUAUCUCUAUAUCUUGCUACAUGAACUACGGUCCUAUUUAUAAGACCUAGUGACAACUAUCCUAUAACUACUAGAUCAUGAGGUGAUUAAUGAAACCACCUUAUAACUACUAGAUCAUGAUUGAAGUGGUUAUUGAAAUCAUCAUGUAACUACUAGAUCAUGAUAGCAAUCUAGAUAGAUAACUAUGAAUCAAAUUUCAACACUCCCCCUUGAUUCAUAGUUGCAUACACCUUUGGUGAGGGUAUCCGAAUAUCCGCAACUUGUUCAUCUGUUCCAUAAUACUUCCUUGUUAUGGCUCCACUUGCUUGAAAUACUCUUCCGAUUAUCUAAAGCUCCUGCACAAUCACUAUUAGUGAAACUAAAUAAUUUACAUUUAAAUUUUGUUUUGAACACCCAUUUUAACCCAAUCACUUUCUUUUCUUUCGGUAGAUCCAUUAGCUCCCAAGUUUCAUUCUUCUCAAUUGACUUGAUUUCCUUCUUCAUUGCUUUUCUCCAUUCCUCUUUUUUAACUGCUUCCUCAAAAGUUGUAGGAUCUGAAAUAAACAACGCAAAUGUUGAGUUAUAAAUUUCUGUCAGUGAUCUGAAAUUUCUUGGAGAGGUUUCAUCUGAGGAAUCCGAAUUUGAACUGCUAUUGGGUGAGGUUGACGAUGAAUUUGUUGGAGCAGGAUCUGUCACUUGAUUCUGCGGAGUGUCUAGUUUUGCUGGAAUCUGCAUUUGUGUUUCACCUUUAUUGGUCUCCCAAUUCUAACUUGUCCUUUCAUCAAACAUAACAUUUCUGUUAAUAAUAACUUUGCCACUAACAUGGUUAUAUAAUCGAUAUGCUUUAGAUCGUAAAGAAUAACCAAUUAAAAUGUAUUUCUCUGAUUUUUCAUCAAGCGAUGAUUUUGUGAAUUCACUAAAGCAUAAGUAAUACAACAAAAAAUUCUUAGAUAUCUAACACUUGAUUUCAUACCAUACCAAGCCUCAAAAGGAGUUUGAUUCAUAACAGCCUUUGUUGGUGAAAUAUUCAACAAAUAAACUGUUGUUGCAACUGCUUCUGCCCAAAACUGAUUUGGAAGAUGUUUUCCUUUAAGCAAACUUCUUGCCAUUUCAACGACAGUCCGAUUCUUACGCUCUGCUACACCAUUUUGCUCCGGUAUAUAUGGUGCUGUCAAUUCUGUGAAUACCAUUUUCUUCACAAAAAGAACUAAACUCAUUAGAUAAAAAUUCUCUACCUCUAUCUGUCCGAAGUGUCUUUAUAUAUCUACCACUUUAUCUUUCUACAAGUGCCUUGAAUUUUCAAAAAUUAUCAAAUGUUUCAGAUUUCAAUUUCAAAAAAUAUACCCAACUCAUGCGAUUAUAAUCAUCCGUAAACAAUAAAAAAUAUUGACUUCCACCAAAUGAUUUUAUAUUCAUAGGUCCACAUAAGUCAGCAUGAACUAAUUCAAGACAAUUAGAUGCUCUCCAUGCUUUUCCAAUAGGAAAUGAUUUUCUACUUUGUUUGCCAUAAAUACAUCCUUCACAUACAUCAAGUGUAUUAAUCUUAUGCAAUCCAAAAACCAUUCCUUUUUGACUUAACAAUCUUAAACCUUUAAUGUUAAGGUGUCCAUAUCUUAAAUGCCAUAAACUAGACUCAUUCUUUUGAGUUGUGAUAAGCGCAUGUCUUUCAAUAUUUGACACAUCAAGUGGAAACAUCUUGUUUUGUGUCAUGCAAACAUUUACUAUAAUCAAACCAGAUUUCUUAUCUCUAAUAGUGCAUGAACCAUCAUCAAAUAUUACUGAAUAUCCAUCAUUUACUAAUUGUCCAACACUCAACAAAUUAUGUGAUAAAGUAAGAACAAAGAAAACAUUAUCAAGGUAUUUUACCUUCUCUUGAUUUGUCUUCACCUCAAUUGUUCCUUUCCCUUCCACUUGGAUUUGCUUGUUAUCUCCAAGUCUAACAUUCAACUUGUGAGUCUCAUCAAUAUCUCUAAAAAUUGAUUUUAUGCCUGACAUAUGAUUAGAACAUCCACUAUCCAAAAAUCAAAUAUCAUUUGAGAUGUUAUGAAUUUAUGAAUGAGUCAUAAAUAACUUACUAUUUUCUUCAUUUUUCUCCACAUAGCUUGCUUGCUUUUCUCUAUUCCAGCAAUCUGUUUUCAUGUGACCAAACUUUUUACAAUAGUGACAUUGAAUUCCACUUUUGUAAUUUUGAUCAUAAUUUGAUUGCCCUUGUUCAUCAAAGUGUCCUCUUCCUCUUCCAUUUCCUCUACCACGAAAUCCUCCUCUGCCAUGUCCUUUUCCUAUUGAUUUUUUGUCUUCUUUUGAAAUAGAAGACUCCCCCUUAGCCUGAAAUGCUUUUUUUUCACUUUUUUCAAGUGACAUGUUCAACCUUACUUAAUGUGCUUGCAAGGAACCCAUUAGUUCAUCAAAUGAAUAUAUAGAUAAAUCUUUUGAUUCCUCAAUUGCGGUAAUAACAUGAUCAAAUUUCGGAGUUAAACUUCUUAAAACUUUUGCAACAAUUAUAUGAUCAGGAAGAUGUUCACCAUAAGAUUUCAUUUGACUAACAAUUUUAGUCACUCGAGAAAGAAAAUCUUGCACCGAUUCAUUACUUUUCAUGAACAAAAUUUCAAACUCACGACGGAAGGUUUGAAGUUUUACCGUAAUCACCCUUGAUGAGCCUUGAAAUUCAUUUUGAAGUAUCAACCAAGCUUGCUUUGAGUUUGUCGUUGUUGCAAUUCUUGAGAAGAUCGUCUCAUGUAUAGCUUGUUGAAUGAAGAACAAUGCCUUUGAGUCCUUCUUUCUAUUCUCUCUCAGCCUAAUUUCAUCAUUUGGAUCUGCAUAUCCAUUCUCUAUGAAGUCCCAAAGAUCUUGAGACUUGAAUAGAGUUUUCAUUUUGAUACUCCAAAACUCAUAGCUUUUGCCCGAGAAGAUGAGGAUAAGGGGUUGAGACAUGGAAUUGUCAUUGAAAGCCGCAAGAAGAAAACAGAAUACUACGAUACGAGUAAAAAGAAGCCUUUCGACUCAAGAAAACUGAUGUAGUAUUAAAAACAAGAGAAUUGAUAAGACAAUUACAAUAUACCAAAUGCAUACUGAUGUAGUAUUAAAAACAUGAGAAUUGAUAAGACACUUACAAGAUACCAAAUGCACACAGACUCUCUAUCUUUCUCUGCUUGCUAUCUCAAUAUCUCUAUCUCUAUAUCUUGCUACAUGAACUACGGUCCUAUUUAUAAGACCUAGUGACAACUACCCUAUAACUACUAGAUCAUGAUGGUUAAUGAAACUACCUUAUAAUUACUAGAUCAUGAUUGAAGUGGUUAUUGAAAUCAUCAUGUAACCACUAGAUCAUGAUAGCAAUCUAGAUUGAAUCAAAUCUCAACAAAGUCGAAGUCACCAACUGAUUGGAUAUGCGAUAAGUAAAAACAGUCAACACAGUGUUCGGAUGACGUAAUCGCAUGCAUCAACCAACACACCUGGCCGUGGUGUGGUGACCUUCUAGAUGGAGUCGAUGCGUAGUGUUCCUUCAAUUCGGUUGUCCAUGGACGGGAGGAUUCCAUCACGCUCACCAUGACAAUUUAGGUGGUUUGGAAUAGUGAUGACGAUGAAGACGACGACGACAACCUCGAUCCUUCUCGGAUGCAAUAGCAUCCUCUGAGUCAACAAUGGACGGCUAUGACGCUCGCUAGUAUUCGUCUUCUUGUGAGAGCUCGACAGCCGAUCAUGGCGACGUCAUCUGCAAAAUGUCACCAACUCCAAGGAGAGUCUGGGAAGCCUACUCAUACGAUCAGAGAUAGUUGGGAUUGGAUACUGCGUUGACUAAAUCACAUUUAUACGUCAACAAAAGCAGCAGCUACUUUGCUCUGCUUCUCCACAAAGGACAUCGUGUGUGAAUAACUUUCUACCAGUACAUCCAUCUCAUCGACCUUCCAACAUCGUCAUCGAUACGUGGUUUGUGGACGAGUCUUGCUUGCUUGUAGAUGAAUUGGUUUCAGAUGGAUCUUUUGCAACGAUAAAACCUGGUUGUCUUGGUUGCGGUAGGAGAGCACAGUCACCGCCCAACAUCUCCACCACCGACGACAUCGUUGGUCUGUAUUCUGGUCGAUCUUGAACGCACAAAAGUCCCACCUUUAUACACUUCAUGACUUCGGCCACGGGAAGCGACGACGGCCCCAUUGACGCAUCCGCUAAUUCCAGCCCUUUACCUUCGUUCCAAAGACUCCAUACCUGAAAUCGAUUUCGUAAUUAAGGUUCAGAAUUAUGUAUGCAUUGAAGUGGAAGUAUAAUGUAAAAGAUGACAUUUUGGUGCACUUACAUGUGCUAGAAGAUUUAGGUGGUGUGCAGAUUGAUAGACUCCUCUGUUCUUUUUGCCACUUACGAUUUCCAGCACCAAAACACCGAAGCUGAAGACGUCAGAUUUCACCGAGAAGAUUCCGUCCAUGGCGUACUCGGGAGACAUGUAUCCGCUGCAUUGUUAGGGAAGAUGAUAAGAGAGAUUCGCAUUACGUGCACCUAGAGGUAAGAUCUAGAGUUGGCACGUACUACGUCCCGACGACUCUCCUGGUUCUUGCGUCUGUGUCGUCCCCUCCAAACAUCCUUGCCAUGCCAAAGUCCGAUAUCUUGGGGUUCAUAUCCUUGUCAAGAAGGAUGUUGCUAGCUUUCAGAUCCCUGUGAAUGAUUCUGAAUCUAGAAUCACGGUGGAGGUACAGAAGGCCCCGAGCAAUCCUUGUCAAGGUAUACUGAUGUUUGGGGCCCUGUUCCUGUCACUUCUUUUGACAAAUUUAGCUUUUAUGUUAUUUUUGUCGACUAUUUUACUAAAUACACAUGGCUAUAUCCUCUUCGUCAUAAAUCAGAAGUUUCAAAAGUCUUUACCAACUUUAAAAAGCUGGUUGAAAACUUCUUUCAGUCUACAAUUAAAACAGUCUACUCUGAUGGUGGAGGUGAAUUUCAAGCCCUCACAUCCUACCUCUCAACUUGUGGCAUCCAACACCUUAAGUCAAACUUUAGCUUGAAUACAUUAACAUGUUCCUCUCCUAUUUAUAGAAUUAAGAGGGAGAAUUUUACUCAACAGAAUAGAGGAUUUUCCUCAACAGAAUAGAUAAGAUUUCCUCUUUGCCAGUCCAACAAUGCCCCUUUAGUCUUGUCUGAUUACAGAUUCAGCAUCAAUCAUUCUUCAGCUACGCGAGCUAAGAUUGAAAAUGGAAGUAGUGAAUGGAAGAUUAACUAACCAAACAAGAUGGAAUCCAAGCUUCCGUGGGGCAUGUACUCGUAGAUCAGCAUCCUCUCCCCUGCUUGGAUGCAGCAACCGAGAAGCCGGACGAGGUUACGGUGCUGUAGCUUCGCAAUUAGCGUUACCUCGUUCUUGAACUCAGCCAGGCCCUGCGUCGAUGUCUCGGAUAACCUCUUCACAGCUAUCUCUUGUAGCUCCCGCAGCUUACCCUGUAAUCAUCGCAUUCAAAGGCCAGUUAACUUGAAGCACAUCGAUUGUCAAUAGUAGAGAAUUUGGCGAAGCUUCACCCUGUUGAGCUCGUUUAUACCUUGUAUACUAGACCAAAACCGCCCUCACCAAGCUUGUUGUCCAUGGAGAAGUUGCCGGUGGCGCCUUCUAUUGUGUCUAAAUCAUAUAGUGGGAGGUCCAAGUCCUGUUCGUGUGUUUCUUCGUCAAUGUAGCGAUCUGUGAAGCAAAUUGAACCGGUAAAAAGUAUAUCUCACAAAUUUAGAAGAAGGAGAUGACAAGUGUUGAUGAUACUUCUUCUCUUCUUUCUUCUCCAAACGAAGCAAGCAACAGAAAGCAGGAAAAAGGUUGCCAGAGCAGAGACUACGAUGAUGAUCACGACCACAUGAUUCCGGUGAGACUGGCUUGAUUCAGAGCCUGAAAGAUAAACGUCAUCUCGUGAAGUAAAAAACAGAUCAAUUCCUCACGCAGACUACCAUGUAAAGUGAUCGAACUUACCAAGGUCGGCAGCCGCCAGCCUGACAUAGAUAUCUUGUCCUGAACCACUGUCGUACAUUUUGAUAUCGGUGAGCGCUGUCGUCCAUAUGAUGCACCCGCUGCCGCUCCCGCUCCCACUGAUGUUGGCGCUGGCAUAGGCUAUGCAGGAGCACUGCCUCCGGCACAAAGCCUCGCACUCCUGCAGGCUCAUGCUCCUGUCCACCAUCAACGUCGACGUGUCCGGUAUCUUCACGCUGCUGAGCGUGAUAAACCCAUCGGUCCCAUUCCGGCAAUCCAACUCCGUGUUCCGCACGCAUCCGUCCGUCCCCUCCCUCGGACUCCAUCUGCUGCGAUUCUUGGGGUGAAACCCCUGCAAGCACUUACACAUCGCGAAUUCGUUGGGGUAGCAGACGCCGUAGGGGCCGCAGGGUGACAACAUGUCUUCGCACUGGUCCUGGGGCGCGGACCAGAAGACGCUCCACCUCUCUCUGUCUUCGAGCCACACCAGGCGCUGCAGGAUGCCCGACUGGUUCAUGACCAGCCUUGAGACGACCGAGGGGUCGCGCAUGUAGAACGAGUACACGAUCUCGCGGGCGUCCACCACGAACACCAUGUGGAUCACGUUGUCGGUCUUCAUGUCCUGGAUGCCACUGAACUGGCGGCCGUUCCAUGAACCCCCACUCCAGUACGGAUGGCUCCCGGACCACAGAAAUAUCUGGGGAUUCCCGUGCUUGUCGAUGCCGUUGGCAUACACUCCCGGCGCCGGAUCGCUGACGCUCCUCCAAGCCGUGAGGUUGCGGUCCAGCCCGCUCGUUAGGUUCCACCCAAUCUUCAUGCCCGGCAGAAGCGUGUCCGUCAGGAAGUCGAAGCUCUGCCAAGCAAAGCCGCUCGGGUCAUCGUCACUGCCCUCCUCCUCGACGACGAAGUUCCCGUUGUCGAGUAGCCGCGCCACUGGGUUCCCAAGGGCCAGCGAACCCGAGGACCAGAUGACGGUGGAGUUCUUGCCAUCGGUGAUCACGAGUGCUCCGUCCGUCUCCAAGGACAGCUUUCCGGAACGGCCGGUGACCGGCCGCUGGCGGUUGGCAACCCACACCACGGUCUUGUCCCGGAUGCGGUGGUACCAUAUGCCGAUGUAGCGGUUGCUGGAACCUGCGGGGCUAAAGAAGCCCAACUCGAAGCUGCCACUAGCGGAAAUUAAGGUGGUUCCUCCGUCGUCGACGAGAGGUCGGGCGGGUGUGACAGUGUCGUCUCCAAUGGUGGGGGAACAGAGGAUAGAAGCAUUGAGAAGGCAGAGAAGCACCGAGGCCUUCGUCAUCCGCCUGGCCAACACCAAUCACUAGUGCUAAGUUUCAGACAUAUUUUAAGCGCUAUCCGUCGGACUAUUGUUUUUUUACGUUUUCUCUCUUAGAUUAUCACUCGGUCAAUUCAAAAUUUUGACUUUAACUGAGCGACGACUUCAAAUGAAUUAAAAAUUUUCAAUCAAUCUCGUAUCCAAUAAAAACCGUCUCCAACUUUUUUGGUCUAUCAAAUAUGAGUCAUGACGUUGAGAUGUUAACUCUGAAAUUACCUAGACAUAGUUGUUUAAGCGAUGCAUCAUUUUUCAGAAAUAUAUUACGAAAAGAAUCUGUUUUAUUUAUUAAGAUAAUAAAUAUUUAUUUAAAUUUUGAGGAAGAGAUUUUAUUAAAUUAUAUAUUCAAAUCACGCAAUAGCCCUCUCAUGACAUCGGAUGAUCAUAUAUCGACAUUCAAUAGCUCUCAUAAUGUUGGCUAUCAUAACCGAUUGUACUAGAUUUGAAACUUUCAAGCAUAUUAGUUUGGUAUAAAAGAGUGGAGUACUUAUAUAGAACAUCUUUUAUGUCUCAAGUCUAAAGACCAUAUAUACCAAUGGGACGACGAAACACUAUUUGAUAAUGAGGUAUUUUCAAUCAUCCAGUAUUCUAUGAGCGGAUCAAUCAGUGAACUCAUUCUCCAAUAAGCAUCUACACUGUAUCCUUAGUGUCCCCACAUGAGCAGCUAUGAGACCAGUCGCCUCCAUCAUAUGGACAGGUAUAUAGUACACUAGUCUAUGUGGUUAUCUCGAUGUCUUUCUUGAGUCACCUAUGAUCGGGAUUAUUUAGGUUCUGUAUUUAAAAACGAAUCGAUCUCAUUAUCGUGAUUUCAUCAUGAUCUAAUUCUCAUUAUAUAUAUAUAUAUAUAUAUAUAUAUAUAUAUAUAUGUAACAAAUAAUAUAUAGUGAGAAAAAAAUAAAAAAUAAAAAAGUGUGUGUCAUGUCACACGUGUUAUCACUCACUUGAUUGGCUUAUAGUGCACUUAUGACUAGUGUAUGUUACUCGAGAAAGAUAUCGAGGUAACCGGACAAAUCAUUAUACUAUAUACCCAUCCAUGGAGGUAACUAGUCUCAUAACUACUUGUGCGGGACACUAGGGAUAUAGUGUAGGUGCUCAUUAGAGAAUGAUAUCUCAUUGUUCGAUAGCAAUUUCGUAGUCCUAGUUGUGUAUCUGGUCCUUAGACUUUAGACAUCAAGGAUGCCUUACUUGAGUACUCCAUUCUUUGAUACCGGAGGUAUUAGGUGUCAAUAGAAGAUCAUCUACUAUUGGUAUUAUAAGAGAAAUAUCUCAUGUGUUCUCACUUAGGCAAAUCGCUGGUCAAGGUUGAUUAGAUUGAGAGAAUAUGAUAAGAGUGAAAGUUGAAUUAAGAGAGAAAUAGUUCUUCGCGAGAAUCCGAUAAAAGUAAGACCCCAAUGGAUUUCAUAUGGGCCUAACAGGAUCAUGCCCGAUAUAUAAUCUCUAGGAUAUUAGAUGACUAAGGAAUUAUAGAUACACGAUAAGUUGGACAACAUGACAAAAUGAUUUGAUUCUCCUAUAUCAUUUAAGGACUAUGGUGUAGUGACUUAGUACCUUUAUAGUCGAUGAAUUGAGUGAAUUAUUAUGAAAAUAAUAAUUCAUUGAGUCAAAAGGAGUUCUGAUAGGUGCAACUCAUGACCAACUUGGUAUUGGGCCUAGAGUAUUAUUGAGUCACAUAUGGUGGACAACGCGACAAAUAUAAGAUUGAAUAUUAGAUAUUCAAUAAACCCCUAUUUUAAUGGAUCUAUUGGAUGAGAUCCAAUAGAGCUUAUAGUGGUUAUUGGAUAAGAAUCUAAUAUCCAUUAAGCUAGUGGUUAUUAGAUGCAGAUCAAAUACUCUACAAGACAGAUCCAUUAGGCUUAGCAACAAGAGCUCUCUAUAAAUAUGAGAUAAGGCUUCAUGAGUCAUAGGUUAGACUAUAUAGUCGUCGUCCUUCUAUCUCCCCCUUCCAAUCUUUCUCUCAACUGUGAGUCCCUCUAUGGUGUAAGAGGAUAGUAAGAGGGUCAACCCCUCUUUCAACUACUAUUGUUUGGUGGUGUGCGAUCAUGAGCAGAGAACCCGUUGCAUAAGAAGGUGUAUCAUCAUUGCAUCCAUUAUAUGGAUCACCCAUAGAGAGGAGUUUGUGAGAGCUCUUUCAUCCCACGAACUGAGAUAUGUGAUUUAGGGGAUAAACGAUCGCCCCUCGGUGAGAACGUCUCAACCACUUGGAUGUGGGUUUUAUCAUUUUGAGUUUUAUGCUCCUCGUCAUCACAAGACAUACGAUAUCUUUGUUUUCGGAACCAAUUUUGUUUUUAUUUUUUGCUACGCAUGUGAUGUUCCAUAAGGUUUCUCAAUAUUGAUAUUAUUAGAUUGCGUUGAAGGUAUGAAAAUUGGUGGAGAGUUAUUGACAUGUACAUGCCGAUGCACUUUGGUGUCACUCGGGCGAGGAGAGAACAAAGAUAUCAUUUGUGGUGCCGAGAGUAUUAUUUUAUCAAGCAUUGUGAGGUGAAUUUGAGAAGAAGUACAUGGAGAAGUUAUAGAGGGGGUGAAGUAUUGCUAAACUAGAGUGAUAAGGGAGUGUAUGUCUUGAGGAGAACUGAUGAUUGACAUUGUGAUAGGUGUGUCUAAGGGUCUGAGGUGUACUCGUAUAAAUCUAUCGAUGUAUGAUUAUUAGAGUGGCUUGCAUUACUGAAGGCUCAUGGUUUUGAAAGGGAAAGGUAGACUCGAUAAAAAUAAUAUGAUAUAAUAUAAAGGCCUUUUAAGUUUGAGGAUCAUAGUACUAGAAAGCAUUAUGUUGAAUCCUAGAUUUUGACGAUGAAAUCAAUUGAUGAGUUUAUGGACUCUCUUGAACAUAAAAGUGUUAUAAACUCUCUUGAAAAAUGUUGAGUCUCUUCCUCCUUGAGUGUAGAGGUUAUACUAAAGAGCUGUGAGGUCUUAUAUAGAUGAGAUAUAUAAAUAUUUUUUCCUAAGCCUAUUAAAAUGAGAAGAGAGGUGUAAAGUUUUUCUUGUAAGCCUAUGAAAAGAAGAACGGUUGUAAUAAGAGUAGUUGAUCUUCGUCCGUUGAAAAAAAAAAUAGUAGUAAAUGCCGAUGACCUCGAGAGAAGAGGAAUUAUGAGUGGACGCAGGUCGGGACGAUCGAACCACUAUAAAUCUGGUUUAUAUUUCCUUUUAUACUUUUCCUUACUAUUACUAACUGAUUUAGUUGUUCACUAUCCCUACUUACAUUUUAAGUUACAUACAUUUUCGAUACGUAUUUUUUGAUAAAAAGUUUUCAAAUCGAAACUUUAUUUCGAAAGCACUAAUUCAUCCCUUCUUAACACUUUUACGAUCCUAAUAAUUGGUAUCAGAGUUUGGUUCACUUAGUUGUUUUAGCACUCAGGAGAGAUUAAAUGAUAUUUUUUAAUAAUCAAGAGGGUCAUUUUAUUACUCGUCCUAUAUUUAGUGGGAGAACUACACUUUUUGGAAGACACAAAUGCAGAUGUUCUUGAUUUCUAUGGAUUUCGAUUUAUGAAAUGUUAUGAUUUUUAAAACUCUUCUAAACUGGAAUGAUUUCGAAAAGAAAAUAUUUUCUUUAAAUGCUAAAGUUAUAAAUAUUUUAUUUUGUGCUUUAGAUAAAAAUGAGUUUAAUCGUGUUUGUAUAUGUGAAAUUGCAUGAUAUUUGGUAGAAGUUACUCAUGAACACAUAAAUAGAGUAAAAGAAUCUAAGGUUAUCUUUUUGGCACAUAGUUAUGAAUUAUUUAAAAUGAAACCAAACGAAACCAUUGGUUACAUGUACACUCAUUUUACGAAUAUUAUUAAUGGUUUAAAAGCUCUUAGUAAAAGUUAUGCUAAUCAUGAAUCGGUAAAUACGAUUUUAAAAUCUCUUUCUAAAAACUGGAAUUAAAAAAUAACGGAUAUUAAAAAAAUAAAAAAUUUGAAUGAUUAUCCUCUUGAAUAAUUUAUAGGAUCUUUAAUGUCUUAUGAAAUAAUAUGUAAAGUAUAUUAUGAAAAAGAGAAAUUUUUUAAGGAAGAAUAUUACAUUUAGAACUAAAUAAGAUUAUUUUAAGUGAAGAUGAUGACAUGACGAACUAUACAUCGAUGGUGCUUAUUGAUAGUCAAUGAGAUAUAUAACCUAUCCAAAAUAUCUUUAUCUUAUAAUGAAUUACUUAAUACAUUUGAUGAUUUAUAUGAUAAAUUUAAAAUAAUUAGUAAAAAAUAUAAAUUACUAAAAAGGAUCAUAUAUCUCUCUAAAUUAGAUAAAUUAAAAAAUAAGUUAAUAAUUAAAAAAAAUUAAUAUUUGAUAAAGCGAUAGGGCGAUAGUUUGUAAUAUUGGUAGAUUUUUUUAACUAGAUGAAGGUUACGAAUGUCUUAGUCUAAUCUAAAAGUAAGUAACAUUUUCAUAAAAGUGUUAAAAAAUAUUUGAAAAAUGAUUGGAAAAAGAAGACCAGUAGGAUUUAUAAAAUUCACUUGUGAAUCAAUGAAGCUGAAGGCUUUUGCCCAUUCUCAUGGACUUCACAGCAUACGGGAUUACCUCUAAAGCGAAAGGUUUAUUUAAUUAAUGGGGACUUCCAUAGGUAAUCUAGGAAAAGAGGAUAAAUUUUGCCGAGUACAAGAGGAUAAAAAAUACUAGUGAUUGCAUAACAUAUCCAUGAUGGUUUUAGUAUCUUAAAUAAAUUCCUUUGAUAAAAUUUCUCCUACGUCUACAUUUAGCCUUAGCCUACCAUUGUAGUUAAUUUAUUUAAGUAAUAUAAUUUGAAGGUUAUAGAGAGUAGUUAAAUGUGUAAUGGCAACAUUAGAUGAAUCAUUUGUGCCAAGAUGAAACUUAGCCAAAUUGUUCUCAAUCUUUCCAAGACAAUCAUUAGGGUUAGACUUAAUUUGGUGGAAAGGUGCGGUUCGAAAUCAUUAGAUUAAACAACACACCAUUAAGGCUUGACAAUAUUUGUUGAAGCAUCGUGACCGUCGAUUCUAAGUAGAUGUGAUGGUGGACACAUCACCGGGUCCAUCACGUGCUUGGCAUGUGUUGACACGACGUGGUCAGCCACCUUCGUCUUCGGCAUCGGUUAACUGACGACUUUUUCUAGUCAGGUUAAUACUGUAUUCAAAACGAAGGGUCAACAUUUGAUCCUCCAUUGUCUUCUAGAGAAUCCAUCCUCAAUUGAGACUCAGCCACUAAGGAUUGAUCUCCUUCUAGAGGAGAGGAAGCAGAAGAAGACAGAGAAUUUUCUGAAGGCAAAGACCAAAUUCUAGUAAGAAAAUUCUACAAAGUAGCCAGCGGAGAAGGCGAUAAAAAAAAUUUACUAAUGAGGUAAGAACUCCAUGAUUGUCACUAUAUUAAUAGUCUUUCAUCGUCAAGCUAAACAAAGUACUUCAAUGAAGUCUUGAUAUGUUCCAACCGCUUGAUGGGGGUGGGACGAAUGGAGGCAGGAAGAUGUCUUGAUAUGUUCCAAUUAUUAUAUUCACCAUAAACUCUUCUCUAAUUCCCAUGACUCUGAACUCAUAGAGCUUUUGCAUUCGGAGUAGUCUUCACAUCAAUCCUAAGCCAAAACCAAAAUGCUUAGUGUACACAAACGUUUUCUGACCCUCGCAAAAGCUUUCCAGCUCACUAUCGGCCUUCCAACAUCGUCGUCAUCGAUGCGUGGUUUGUGGACGAGUCUUGCUUGCUCGUAGAUGAAUCGGUUUCAGAUGCAAUGAUAAAACCUGGUUGUCUUGGUUGUCGUAGGAGAGCACUGUCGCCGCCCAACAUCACCACCACCGACGACAUCGUUGGUCUGUCUUCUGGUCGCGCUUGAACGCACAAAAGUCCCACCUUUAUACACCUCAUGACUUCUGCCACGGAAAGCGACGACUGCCCCAUUGACCCAUCCGCUAAUUCCAACCCUUUACCUUCGUUCCAAAGACUCCAUAUCUGAAAUCGAUUUCGUAAUUAAGGUUCAGAAUUAUGUAUGCAUUGAAGUGGAAGUCUAAUGUAAAAGAUGACAUUUUGGUGCACUUACAUGUGCUAGAAGAUUUAGGUGGUGUGCAGAUUGAUAGACUCCUCUGUUCUUUUUGCCACUUACGAUUUCCAGCACCAAAACACCGAAGCUGAAGACGUCAGAUUUCACCGAGAAGAUUCCGUCCAUGGCGUACUCGGGAGACAUGUAUCCGCUGCAUUGUUAGGGAAGAUGAUAAGAGAGAUUCGCAUUACGUGCACCUAGAGGUAAGAUCUAGAGUUGGCACGUACUACGUCCCGACGACUCUCCUGGUUCUUGCGUCUGUGUCGUCCCCUCCAAACAUCCUUGCCAUGCCAAAGUCCGAUAUCUUGGGGUUCAUAUCCUUGUCAAGAAGGAUGUUGCUAGCUUUCAGAUCCCUGUGAAUGAUUCUGAAUCUAGAAUCAUGGUGGAGGUACAGAAGGCCUCGAGCAAUCCCCACGAUGAUGUUGUACCGUAUUUUCCAGUCCAACAAUGCACCUUUAGCCUUGUCUGAUUACAGAUUCAGAAUCAUUCAUUCUUCAGCUGAGAGAGCUCCGAUUGAAAGAGGAAGUAGUGAAUGGAAGAUUAACUAACCAAAUAAGAAGGAAUCCAAGCUUCCGUGUGGCAUGUACUCAUAGAUCAGCAUCCUCUCCCCUGCUUGGAUGCAGCAACCGAGAAGCCGGACGAGGUUACGGUGCUGUAGCUUGGCAAUUAGCGUUACCUCGUUCUUGAACUCAUCCAGGCCCUGCGUCGAUGUCUCGGAUAACCUCUUCACAGCUAUCUCUUGGAGCUCCCGCAGCUUACCCUGUAAUCGUCGCAUUCAAUGGCCAAUUAACUUGACGCACAUCGACUGCCAAUAGUAGAGAAUUCGGCGAAGCUUCACCCUGUUGAGCUCGUUUAUACCUUGUAUACUGGACCAAAACCGCCCUCACCAAGCUUGUUGUCCAUGGAGAAGUUGCCAGUGGCGCCUGCUAUUGUGUCCAAAUCAUAUAGUGGUAGGUCCAUGUCCUGUUCGUGUGUUUCUUCGUCAAUGUAGCGAUCUGUGAAACAAAUUGAACCGGUAAAAGGUAUAUCUCACAAAUUAAAUAGAAGAAGAUGACAAGUGUUGAUGGUACUUCUUCUCUUCUUCCUUCUCCAAACGAAGCAAGCAACAGAAAGUAGGAAAAAGGUUGCCAGAGCAGAGACUACGAUGAUGAUCACGACCACAUGAUUCCGGUGAGACCGGCUUGCUUCAGAGCCUGAAAGAUAAACGUCAUCUCGUGAAUUCAAUAACAGAUCAAUUCCUCACGCAGACUACCAUGAAAAUUGAUCGAACGUACCAAGGUCGGCAGCCGCCAGCCUGACAUAGAUAUCUUGUCCUGAACCACUGUCGUACAUUUUGAUAUCGGUGAGCUCCGUCGUCCAUAUGAUGCACCCGCUGCUGCUCUCACUUCCACUGAUGUUGGCACUGGCAUAGGCUUUGCAGGAGCAGUUCCUCCGGCACAAAGCCUCGCACUCCUCCAGGCUCAUGCUCCUGUCCACCAUCGACGUCGACGUGUGCGGUAUCUUUACGCUGCUGAGCGUGAUGAACCCGUCGGUCCCGUUCCGGCAGUCCAACGCCGUGUUCCUCACGCAGCCGUCCGUCCCGUCCCUGAGAUCCCAGCUCCUGGGAUUCUUGGGGUGAAACCCCUGCAAGCACUUGCACUUCGGCGACUCGUUGGGGUAGCAGACGCCGUAGGGGCCGCAGGGCGACAACAUGUUGUCGCAAUGGUCGUUGGGCGCGAACCAGAAGACGCUCCACAUCUCACUUUCUUCGAUCCACACCAAACGCUGCAGCAUGCCCGACUGGCUUAUGACCAACCUCGAGACGACCGAGGAUUCUCGCAUGUAGAACGAGUACACGAUCUCGCGGGCGUCCCCCACGAACACCAUGUCGAACACGUUGUCGGUCUUCAUCUCCUGGAUGCCACUGAACUGGCGGCCGUUCCAUGAACCCCCGCGCCAGUACCGCCGGCUCCCGGACCACAGAAAUAUCUGCGGAAUCCCGUGCACGUCGAAGCCGGUGCCGUACUCGCUCGGCGCCGGAUCGCUGACGCUCCUCCAUGCCGUGAGGUUGCGGUUCAGCCCGCUCGUCAGGUUCCACCCGAUCUUCAUGCUCGGCAGAAGUGUGUCCGUCAGGAAAUCGAAGCUCUGCCACGCAAAGCUUCUCGGAUCGUCGUCACUGCCCUCCUCCUCCACGACGAAGUUCCCGUUGUCGAGGAGCCGGGCCACUGGGUUCCCAAGGGCCAGCGGGCCCGAGGACCAGAUGACGGUGGAGUUCUUGCCGUCGGUGAUCACGAGUGCUCCGUCCGUCUCCAAGGACAGCUUUCCGGAACGGCCGGUGACCGGCCGCUGGCGGUUGGCAACCCAGACCACGGUCUGGAUCGGGAUGCGGUGGUACCAUAUGCCGAUGUAGCGGUUGGUAGAACCGACGGGGCUAAAGAAGCCCAACUCGAAGCUGCCACCAGCGGAAAUUAAGCCGGUUUCUCCGUCGUCGACGAGAGGUCGGUUGGGUGUGACAGUGUCGCCUCCAAUGGCGGGGGAACAGAGGAUGGAAGCAGUGAGAAGGUAGAGAAGCACCGAGGCCUUCGUCAUCCUCCUGGCCAUCACCAAUCACUAGUGCUAAGUUUCAGACACAUUCGAAGGCCCCCCAAUUUGUCGGACAUUAUUGUUUAUUUACGACUUUGACUUUUCACUAUUGGAUUCUCACUCGGUCAAUUCAAACGUUUGACUUUAACUGAGAGGUCGACUUCAAAUGAAUUAAAAAAUUUAAAAUCAACCUCCUGUCCAAUAGAAAGAGUCUCGAACGUUUUGGCAAAUGAAAUAAGAGUCAUCUUCACGUUGAGAUGUUUACUGUGGAAUUACGUCGACAAAGUCGUCGAAGCAGAUGCAUGAUUUGCUACGGCAAGAUCAUUGUCAGACUUAUUCGUGAAAUCAUUAUGGAAAAGGACAAUAAUCUUCGUUCACAGCAUUAUUUUAUGUUCUUGUGUUGUCAAAAUCUAUUUUUUUUUACAAGAAAAACAAAUUUAUUUGGUUAUUACUGUCAGUCUAAAAAUGACUCGUGAUGGUCAUUCAUUAUAUAGGAAAUUUCAAAAUUGAGAAGGGGAAAAAAUGUUUUCACAAAAUAUAAUUAUUUUCUGCUCAAGCAGUUGGCUGCUCGAUUGUAUUUCCUGAAAUAAUGUUUUAAUUUGUAGGAGACUAACAUGUAUUAUGUAUUAGCAUUAUUAUUUAUUUACCACUGACUUUUCUCUCUUUGUUUCUCACUCGGUCAAUUCAAAAGUUUGACUUUCUUUGUCUGAGACGUCUGCUGAAGUAGACGUCAAUUCCACUGUUGAAGCAGACGUCGACUUCAAAUUAAUUAAAAAUUGUAAAUCAUUUUCUUAUCUAAAAAACGAAGUCUCUAAUUAUAUUAAAUCGCUCUUUAAUAUAGAUGGAUUAGACCCUCAAAUUGUAGGUUACGGUCAACGUUUGGCUCAUGGAAUAUGACUUUUGAAGCUUGACAUGAUCACGUUGUUGAGAUGUUUACUGUGGAAUUACUCGACAAAGUCGUCGAAGCAGACGCAUCAUUUGCUCCGGCAAGAUCAGUUUGAGACUUAAGGUCUUCGUGAGAUCAUUAUAUAUAUGACUAAAUUACUUAAAGUCAGCAAUCUUCAUCCACACCAUUAUUUAUGUGAUAUUCUUAUGGGACUUUUAUCGUUGUCGAUUUCGAUCGAGACAAUUAUUUAACAUGAGGUGAAAAAAUAAAAAUUUAAUUUAUAUGACAAAAUAUACUAUAGAUCAUCGAAGAAGGUUAUAACGUAACUACAACCUCUCAGGAAGAUUAAAGAACGGAUUAUUCCCUUCGAGUAGUAGUUGAUAAAAUAAUAUAUUUUUUAAAUUUAUGUUAUAAUAAAUUUUAAGGAGGUAUUGGGAGAUCUUGAAGCAAGAAAGAAAGUAAAUUAAAUGAAAAGUGAUAAGGGUAAAAACAGAUUUGACGUAAUACGCCACGACAUCAGCCAUACUUGGAUGACACACUGCCCAAGGAAGGGGGCAUUAACGCCGAUUUGACAUGCACCGACGUCACCCGCUCCCGGUCAACGACUCCACCAUCUGACCCUGCGCGCUCGGCCGAAGCAGAGAAAGAUGUCGACCGAGGCUCGCCCAUACCCUGCGGCAGUUCGGUUCUCUACGCUACUCCAGCGAUAAUGUCAGACGCCAUCAAAGGUACGACCCUGCCUCUGCAAGCAGGCACAUCAGGUAACAUCAAACCCAACUACAAAUACCCCAGAGUUCCAAACGAACAAAGGGGGACAGAACUCACACAGAAGCACUCCCUCUUCCACCACCCUCUCUACGUCGCUAACUUGAUCGUCGGAGGGGUCGGGCCAAGCCUCCGACCUGACCAGUGUGCAGGUGCGAGACGAGGUUGCCUCUUCCCCGACGCUGCGGCAGAGCUAUCCCCCUGAUGGGACAUCCAGAUCACCACGGUCGGCCAUCGGAAGGACCCGAGGCCCGCCGCGCAAGAUCCCCGUCAUUCGGACCCCUGAACGAGCCGCGUCGGCCCCGAGGCCACGGCUAAAAAAAUUAUUUACCAUAACAGAUUGGCGCUAGAAGGAGGGUCCGUCCGAAUGUCGAGCGACCAGCGAAUCCACUUUGGCGAACCCGCAGUCGUCGGGCUGCCCACGAUCACCACCCCGGCGGAACAUCCCCCGCAUGAUGAAUCCCAUGACGAACACCCCGCCGCAACGUCAGAGCGUUACUGGCGGUUGUUCAAUGACCCGGGCUUAUCACCUCCCGACGGCGCUCCCGUCGGCCCGUCGCCGAUAUCAUCCGAGGCCUUUCACGACCUUGCUCAUCAAGUCCGAGCCAUUACGGGCAUGGUGUAGGCUAUCAUCCCGAUCGUCUCCCAGCGGACCCCCCCGCAUGCGGCCCGGCCUUCGCGACAGUAGGAGACCCCCGUCCGGACUCACGUACCACUUCCCGAGCUCCCCACCUCGCCUCGAAACCCGAUAGCCCGGCCCAGGAGCCGGGAGGCAGAAGACACGGCGAGCCGCCCAGACCCCGAGCCCGAGGCUCCAUCUGCCGACUCAACAAAUGCCCUGCGAGCUCAGUUGCGCCUCGUCAGCUAACGACUCGACGAAGUACAACAAGAAGUUCGUAAGUCAAAGGGAGAGCUCGGGGCAGACGGACAGCAAGGAUCCCCGUUCACCCCCGAGAUACAAGAUCAAGCGAUUCCGCCAGACUUCCACCUCCCCUCGCUAGAUGCGGUAUUCCCAACAACCCUGCGGGGGCCAGCCCGCGUGUGGUAUAGCGGUCUGAAGGCCGGGACCGUCGCCUCCUUCGAUCAACUUGCCAAAGAUUUCGAGCUUAACUUCCUGGCUUACGCUCGACCAAAGCCGUCUGUAGCGUUGCUCCUCGGACUCAACCAAAGGGAGGACGAGCCCCUCUCCCAUUUUGUGAACCGUUUUAUGACGCAAAUUCGGGGACUGUCAGACGCUCACCCCUCUCUGUUGAUGCAGGCAUUCAUGACAGGCCUGCGGCCUUCCAGGUUCUUUUGGUCUCUCGUGGAGCGGCCCCCCGUCGCGGUCCCCAAGAUGCUUCAGCGCGUUAGCCAGUUCAUUGCCACGGAGACAUGGAUGGCUGGGAAGCGGGAGGAGCACAAAAAGGUCAAGUCAGAGCCGCCCCGACAGCAGCAACCCGCCGCGUCCCGGCGUAAGUUGGAUAGAUCCGGCCCAAGGUCUCCUCUCCCCGCCUUGAAUUCGUCCCGAACAGAAAUAUUUCUCAAUGAGAAGGAGAAGGGGCUACUNNNNNNNNNNNNNNNNNNNNCUCCAUGUCAGGAAGAAAGGCGUACGCCCGAGCCGCCCCAGACGAAGCCCCCGGACAUGGGCCCGAGCCCGAGAUUACUUUCCCGACCGGAGUAUCCGAGCAACCCGAGCACGACGACGCUCUCGUGAUAUCGGCCAGGGUAGCCAACACGCAGGUGAGAAAGAUCAUGGUCGACACUGGGAGCUCGGCCGACAUACUUUACUUCGACGCCUUUCAGAAUCUUGGCUUGGCUAGGGAGAAUAUGAAGUCGAUAUGCUUAGCGCUCACCGGAUUCACUGGAGACUCAAUAUCUCCACUGGGAGCUAUCACCCUGCCCUUAACCUUAGGGGCCCCGCCAAGGUCGAAGACGGUAAUGACCACUUUUCUGGUGGUCGACCUUCCCAUUGCUUACAAUGCCAUACUCGGUCAGCCGACCCUCAACAAAGUCAGAGCCGUCGUCUCAACCUACUACCAAACUAUCAAGUUCCCGACUCUCGCUGGGGUCGGGGAAGUUACGGGAAGCCCCCGAGAGUCCAAGCGCUGCUACCUGACCGUCGUCUCGUUACACAAGAGGGCCAGGAUCGAACCACCACUGGAGGAUCUGCGGGAAACAAAAAAACUGGCCCCCCAUCCCGAGCCGAGGGGAUCCACCGUUGAUAUACCACUGCAAGAAGCUCGGCCAGACCAGACGGUCAAGGUCGGUUCGGAACUGCCCGAGCGGGAACGAGAGCAGCUCGUCGGUCUCCUACGGGAAAAUACCGACGUCUUCACCUGGUCCUCAUCUGACAUGACGGGUGUUGAUCCAGGGAUCGCACAGCAUCAUCUCAACAUCCCACCUGACGCUCGCCCGGUGAAGCAAAAACCCAAGCGGCAGGCCCUUGACCGACAACGCGCCAUACAAGAAGAGGUGGGCUGACUUUUAGUGGCAAGCUUCAUAGAAGAAGCCAGAUAUCCACAAUGGCUAUCCAAUGUAGUCCUCGUGAAAAAACACAAUAGAAGCUGGAGGAUGUGCGUUGAUUAUACCAGUCUCAACAAUACAUGCCCGAAAGACUACUACCACCUCCCGAAGGUCGACCAACUGGUCGACGCAACGGCCGGACACUCACGCCUCUCUUUUAUGGACGCCUUUUCAUGAUACAACCAGAUCAGGAUGGCGCCCGAAGACAGAGAGCAUACGACAUUCCUCACCGAUCAAGGGGUAUAUUUCUAUAAGGUCAUGCCAUUCGGGUUGAAAAACGCUGGAGCUACAUAUCAGAGAACGGUGAACAAGAUGUUCGCCCAUCAGAUCGGGAGGAACAUGGAAGUUUAUGUAGACGACAUGAUCGUGAAAAGCCAAGAGGCCGGAACGUACAUUGCCGACCUGACCGAGGUGUUCGCCACACUACGCAAGUUCGGCAUGCGACUUAACCCCACAAAGUGCGCUUUCGGCGUCACCUUCGAAAAAUUCCUCGGGGUCAUCAUACAUGAAAGAGGAAUUGACGCCAACCCAGAGAAGGUUCAGGCAAUCAUCGACAUGCAGUCGCCUCGGAUGAUUAAAGAUUUACAGCGCCUUAACGGAAGGCUUGUCGCCAUGUCUCGCUUCCUCGCUCGGUCGAGCGAUCGUUGCCUCCCCUUCUUCAGGGCGUUCAAGAACCCGAAAAGCUUCCGGUGGACGAUGGAGUGCGAAGAAGCUUUCAAACAAAUAAAGCAGCACCUGGCCAGCCUCCCUCGACUCACCUCUGUUUCUCCCAGGGAGAAGCUAGGCCUCUACUUAGCGGCCUCCACACACGCAGUCAGUUCCGUCCUGGUCAAGGAAAGCUCCGACGAACAACUUCCGAUCUACUACGUCAGCCACAUCCUGAGCGGGCCCGAGGAACGUUACCCACCGAUAGAAAAACUCGCACUCGCCCUGGUGCUGUCAGCUCGGAAGUUGCGCCCCUAUUUCCAGACCCACCCAGUGGAGGUCAUCACCGACCAACCUCUUCGGCAAGUCUUAUCUAAAUUUGAUGUUGCAGGGCGGCUCCUCAAAUGGGCGGUGGAGCUCGGGGAACACGAUAUAAGAUACGUGCCCAGGACCGCCAUCAAAGCCCAGGCUGUGGCCAACUUCAUCGCAGAGUUAACUCAGAUGGCAGACGGGGAUCUCGAGCAACCUCCCGAGGCUUGGAUCCUUCACGUGGACUGCUCAGCCAACUCGAAGGGUGCUGGCGCGGGGCUGGUUCUACUCGCCCCCGACGGACGCUCGUUCGAGCGCUCCCUCCGCUUCGGGUUUCAAGCCACUAACAACGAAGCAGAAUACGAGGCGCUCCUAGCGGGACUCAGGUUGGCCCUCGAGAUGCAGGUGGCUGCAAUACACGUCCUCACCGACUCGCAGCUUGUUGCCGAGCAGCUCAAAGGCAAAUACGAAGCUCGGGACCCAACCAUGGUGAAGUACCUGGCACGGGUAAGGGACCUGGCUGCCAAAUUCCCUCAUUUUACGUUAUCUAAUGUUUCGAGGGAAGAGAACGAGCGAGCCAACGCGCUAGCUAAGCAGGCGUCAAAGCCAACCCCCGAAGCACGGCUGGAGGUCGAGGAGCUCCCUGCCCGCGCCAUUGAAGUAGCAACUACAACCCCAAGCAGUGCGUCGAUCACAUGGGUACAAGAGCUGCUACGCUUCAAGCGGGACGGGGCCCUUCCUCCCGACGAGGUGGCGGCUCGGUGCUUGCGUCGUACACAUGCAUGGUACACCGAGGUGAGUGGGCGGCUCUAUAAGCGGUCCUUCACAUACCCCCUCCUACGAUGCUUGGAGCCCGACGAAGCCCAGACGGUUCUGGCCAAGAUCCACGAGGGAGUCUGCGGGGAACACAUCGGCGGGCGAACCUUGGCACACAAAAUACUUCGCCAAGGUUACUACUGGCCGACCAUGUGCCGGGUCGCAAAGGGUUAUGUGUAACGGUGCGGUUCGUGCCAAGAACAUGCCCGCACGCCCCGGCAGCCCGCAGUCCCGCUCAGCCCCAUCGAUUGCGCAUGGCCGUUCGCGCAGUGGGGUUUGGACCUGCUUGGACCUUUCCCACCAGCUUCGGGACAGUGGAAGUACGUCAUCGCGGGAGUAGAUUAUUUCACAAAGUGGGUCGAGGCCGAGCCGUUGGCGACGAUCACGGAGCAUCAAAUGGAGAAGUUCGUGUGGAGGAACCUAGUGACUCGGUUCGGUUUGCCCAAAACCAUUAUUACGGAUAACGGACCUCAGUUCACCGGUAGAAGGUUCCGGGAGUUCUGUGUCAGCCAUGGCAUUCAGCUAAGGUUCAGCUCGGUGGCCCACCCUCAGACGAACGGGCUAGCGGAGGUAACCAAUCGGUCCAUCUUGGAUGGGCUCAAAAGAAGAGUGUCCGCAGCCCGAUCGGCUUGGGCGGACGAACUCCCGAGCGUCCUCUGGUCACUGCGCACCACUCCCAAGACCGCGACUAGAGAGUCCCCGUAUAGCCUGACGUUCGGAACUGAAGCUGUCCUGCCACCUAAGGUAGCUAUUGCCACCCUUCGGACGAGGAGCUAUGACGAGGAAGUCUCAAACGAGAGACUUCGUGCCAGCCUCGACGUGCUCGAGGAGCGACGCGCCGACGCACACCUGAAGGCCCUCUCUUACAAGAGAGCCAUCGCAAGGGCCUACAACAAGAAGGCACGACCCCGACCGAUUAAGUUAGGUGACCUGGUCCUACGAAAGGCCGAGGUCAGCAACCCGACCCGAGCGAGGGGGAAGCUGGCCCCCGAGUGGGAGGGACCUUAUCGGAUCGUCGAGGUAGUCCGACCAAGUACUUACUGGCUCACGACAACGAACGGUUCUCCCUUACCGAGAACCUGGAAUGUCCGGAACCUUAAGAAGUUUUUUGUCUGAAACAAAGGAACCGUUCGUUUAAAGAAGAAGAAGUUUUUCGUCCGAGGAGGAAGAAGCUUUUUUGUCUAGGAAAAGAAGAAGAAGGCGAUACACGGGAGAAGAAAAGGUUUUCUUUUUAAAGAACAAGCCAACUUACAAGACUCGACUUACGAAAACCGACUAGCGACUUGCAAAACAAAAAUACAAUGCCCUUCUUUAUUGUUGGGGGACCUCCUCGGGCAUGUCUACCCCCUGGUCCUCCGGGUGGGGAGUGAAGGGGUCCUCCUCCACCUCAAGACCGGGGUGACGAGCACGAAAACGGGACGUGGUGAUUCGGUAUCCAUAUUCAAAGGACACCCACCCCGUCCGUGUUAGCCCGAGUUCGAACCCCUCGGACCUCUUGUAUGCCUCAAGGAGCUCCUUGUCUUUUGCGGGUCGAAGACGAGCCUCCUCUGCCAGUGCCUCCGAGGCCGUUCUCGCUUCGGCCUUCGCCUCCUCUAGCUUUUUGCUGAGGGCGCUCGCCUCCAUCUUCACCAGGCGAAGUUCGGUCCGCUCCACCCUUAUUACUUUUUAAAGCACGCUGCGAACCGCCUCUGCCUCAAAAUUUGCACCGUGCUUUACGGCGGCCGCUACGGCCACCGGGCCGGCCCCGGCUCGAACCUCCGCGACCUGGUGGUGAAGCUUGGCGUUGCGGCUGACGAGGACCCCGAUAACUCGACCGACGUCCCGCACCCUAUACAUCAGGGUCGUCGCAUAGUGGAGUCCCUGCAAAAGGAGAAACAGGUCAAGAAGGUCAGCGUCGGACGGACGAACCCGAAAAGAGGAGACAUACUUACCCAGGUCAGUGACUGGGCGGACUUGUUGAGCAGCACCUCCGAGGGCAGGACGUACAAGUCCCGAGCCAUAUCGGGAUGAAGCGCACCUCGGAGGAACGCUGCAGAGGGAUCCCCUCCGGCCCACACUCUAUCCCCCCGGGACAAGCCCUCCCAACGGGCGACCAGGGGCUCGCUGGACUCACCGAGCGGGAUCUCGCUCACCAGCCGCGUCAGGUACGGCUCCCCGUCUCCGGCUGGGAGUCGGCACAGAUCGCGUACGGAGACAGGGCACGGACCCUUCCCAAUCGCCCGCCAACUAGGCCCAGCCCCGCCUCGACGGGAGCCCGCCUCAGGCCCCUUCGACGGGGUUGUCUUCGCCUUCUUCGAAGGGCGCCCAUCCUCGACCUCCAACGGGGCGUCCUCCGAGCCGGGUUGUGGGUCGGCCGGCGGAGCUGGGGGAGGGGGUUGCGACGCUUGACCCCCUAGAAGCGACCGGAGGUUCACCAUUUCUACAAGAGACGGAAAAUGUUAGUACCCGAAAUUAACCACGCAAACACCCGAACCAAACGUCACUAACGUACCCAGAGGCAUCGGGCUAAGGCCCGCCUCGACCAGCCUUUGCUCGGUCAUGGUCUGGAUGGCCUACGACCUGGGGAGAAUCUCUCUGAGCCUCCCUUGAGCUUGGCGCUCUGCUUCGCCCAAACAGGGGGUGGUGUUGUCAAUCGCCCUCGCGGACCACCGAACCCUGAAGCCCCAGUCCUGUGCGCGGCUAAUAUAAAAAAACCUCCCCUUCCAUCCUUUGUUACUGGAAGUGGGGCACCCCCGACACGAAAACCCGUCCAGGCCGAUAAGAAAUAACCCCCCGAACCCUUGCAAAGGCGAUAUCAGGAAAGAAAGAGGUUGAGGGUGGGGGUGAUAUUAGCAUAAUGACAUUCCCCCCAGGAAUACCACUAGGUAACGCCAAGAGUUUGGCGCCACCUGAGAUGGCGAAAUCCGCCAGAGAGAUAGGCAAGACACAAUGAGAGGAUGAAGAGGAAAACGCAAACCCACCUCCAGUGCAUAUAGGGUCAAGGCGAAACCCUUCGGGACUGGGUCGUAUGCCCGCUGUCCCGGCUCAGGGACACUGAGGAUAUGGUCCUCCGGGAUGCUAUAGCACUCCCGGAGUCCCUCCAGUGAAGACCCACUCACGGUGGAGUCGAUAUCAUGCGGCCACAUCAAAGCCUCGAGGGCUCAUGCCGCUUCCCCGUCAGACGAUUCAACGGGGGACGGAGGGGGAUUUCCCUCCUCAGCUCCGAGGACAGAAGAAGAAGGAGAGGAAGAUGGAGAGGAAGAAGGGGAAGAAGAGGGCGACAUCUCAACUGACUUUAGAAAGAGGGAAAAACUACGCAGAAGGCCAGGAAGAGGACUGGGGANNNNNNNNNNNNNNNNNNNNGAGGACAGAAGAAGAAGGAGAGGAAGAUGGAGAGGAAGAAGGGGAAGAAGAGGGCGACAUCUCAACUGACUUUAGAAAGAGGGAAAAACUACGCAGAAGGCCAGGAAGAGGACUGGGGAGGCGACAGCAGGACUCGAAGGAGGAAACACAGCAGCGAAAGAUAGAGGUGAAGUCAGGCGUCCGCUAUUUAAAGGAGAUAUCCCGCCAGAACCAGCGUCCCAUCGCCUCCCGACCAGUGUGCAGGUGCGAGACGAGGUUGCCUCUUCCCCGACGCUGCGGCAGAGCUCUCCCCCUGACGGGACAUCCAGAUCACCGCGGUCGGCCAUCGGAAGGACCCGAGGCACAUCGCGCAAGAUCCCCGCCAUUCGGACCCCUAAACGAGCCGCGUCGGCUCCGAGGCCACGGUUAAAAAAGUUAUUUACCAUAACAAAAAGAUAUAGUAAAUUAAUUUCUAAUCAAUGUAGUUGCUCUAUUGAACAAUAAAAAAAAAAGAUCUAUCUAAUUUAUAUGUUAGUAAAUUAUUUGGUUCUUUACAGUCACAUGAGGAUAAAUUAAAAAAUCUCAAAAUACUUAUAUUGGGAAUGCCUUACAAAGUAAAUUAAAUAUUUUCAAAAGAGUAUCUUCAGGCUGUGUUAUCCUUUUGUUUACGCAAUGUGUUCGAUUAAAGGUGAUUUCAGUACAAUCCUUCAUGUAAAUGAGAAGCUGGGAGGCAACCCUCCUCCGGUAUGUUCUAUAGAUGAUUUCCAUGAAUCUAUAUCUCUAACUAAACUGAAAAAGAAAAGAAAACAUAAUAGAUCAAACAAUAAACCAGAUGAUCAGAAUCAAAGAAACAUCGAAGGUAACACUGAAGGUUAUUGUAAGAGGAAUUUUCGAUGUUAUUAUUAUAAUAUUUUUUUAAUUUAAAAAUAGUAGAAAAUAAUAGAAGAUGAGUAUAAUUAUUAAAGAAACUUUAUUAAAAAAAAUAAAAAAACUUAAAUACAUUAACUCAACAUAAUAGAGAGAUUUUUUUCAUAUAGUUAGAGUCGUGAGUAGAGCACAAGCAGAUCGCUACUGUUGCUGUGAGGGCACAAGCGUUUCCGUAACUAUACGAGAAAAUCUCCUUAUUCUGUUAAAGAAAAUCCUCCAUUCUGUUUAGGGAAAUCUAAGAAUUUACCUUUUGUAUGUCAUAUCCACCAAACUUAAAUGGUUCAAUGCUUAUAAAGAUAUUACAGAUCAUGACAAAUUAGAUUAAAAAAAAAAGAUUUUUGAUUUUUUCAAGUUUAGUUCAAAAGUUGAUAUUGGCCUGACUUAUAUUGAUGAAGACGAUGAUAUUAUAGUAUUGGAUGAUGACAAUGAGUAGUAUGAAGUAGUUAUUAAUCGACGAUUGAAUCCGUUUAAAACCAAUGUUCAGUUGAAAUCUAAUGCUAGUGUUGCAUCAGAUUUUUAGAGAAAGUUACAACAAGAAAGGUAGCAUGUUUAUUUGAAACUUUUGAAAGAUGCAAGUUUGCUGAAGUUGAAGAACCUAUAAAUUUUGAAACCAAAAUCAGACAAAAAAAUUAAUUAAGAGAGAUCAAAGAUGAAGAAUUUAUAUAUUUAAAAAAAAAAUAUUGAUAGAUCCGAUAAACACUAAAGCAAUAGACUCAGACAAAAAAAAAUUUCUAACAAACCUAUAGUUAUCAUGCCGAAGAAUUUGAUAUAUCAGAGCAAGUUCGAAUGCUACAAAUAUUUUUAUGUCAUUAGAGAAUUUUUUUAUUUUGAAAGGACAAACUUAUAAUUAGAUAUGUUAGCAUUGUGUGAGAGUCUUUAAGAUAUAAGUCUUAUUGAUUUAGGAGAUGCUUAAAUAAGAAUUUAAUUGAUUUAAGAUAUAUAUUUUAGAUAAGAUUGCAAUGAGUCCAAACAUCUAUAAAUAGGAGGGGUGUGGUCUCUUCUAAUAGCCCACCAAGUCAAAUUAAGACAGGAUUGUCAUAAGAUUUUUUUAAUAAUUUUUUUUUAUAUUUUAAAUUAUGUUAUUUUUUUCUCUCCACUCCUUUUCAAUCUUUUUCCAACGCUUUUGCAAUAGCAAAAGUUGAUUGUCUUAGUUACGACAGGAGAGUACUAUCAUCGCCCACCAUCACCACGAUCGAUGACGACAUUGGUUUGUCUUCUGGUCACUCUUGAACGCACGAAGGUCCCAACUUUGUGCGUCUCAUGACUUUGGCCACAAGAAGCGACGGCUUCUUCGUUGACCUAUCCACUGCUUCCGAUUCUUAACUUUCUUUCCAUCGACUCCAUAUCUAAAAUAAAUAUUACAAUUAUGAUCAAAACUAUAAAGUAAUUGGUAUACAAUGUAAAAGAUAAAAAAAAUUUCUUGAUAAGAUUAAUUUAAAUAAUUAUAAUAAAAAUAAAAUAAAAAAUAGAUUAAAAUAAAUAGAUGAUGAUAAAAAAGAUUUAUUGGGAUAUAGUAUAUCUUUUUAUUAUUUUAAAAACUUAUAUUCUAUCUUUUAACUAAUAUAAAUAUGUAUUCUUCCAUCAAUCCAAAGCACUAUAGUUUGAAAAUACUUCGAUUUCUUUUAUUCUUUCUUCCCCUUUUACCUAAAGUUCUGUAAAAAAAAAAAAACCAGUAAGUGUGAUUUCUUGGUUUGAAAAAAAGACUAAUAGGAGUAUGUGAUUAAAAAAAAUUAAUAUAUUACAAAAAAGGAAAAUGACAAGUAUUGGAGUAAGUAUCCAUAAUCAAUUUCUUCCUAUCAUCAAAGGUGAAAAUUAUUAUUUUAGAUUAUUAAAAUAAAAACUCUAUUUAUUUCAUAAUGAUUAUAAAAUUUGAUAAAAAAAUUUAUUGAGUAUGAUUUACAAGAUCUUAAUAUUACUUAAUAAAGAUCAAAAAGAUCAAAUGAAUGAGAAUAAACAGAAAGAUGCAAGAGCCUUCUAUAUACUACAUAAGUCCUUAUUUUCUUGAAUCUCGAUGGCAUCAACAUCAACAGAAGAUUGAAAAAUAUUAAAAAGUAUGCUAAGAGGAACAAACAAGGUAAAGAUGUAAAGCUUCAAAUUUUUUGACAUAAAUUCAAAAUUUUUACGAUGAAAGAUUCUAAAUCUAUAACCGAUUUUUUUUUCUCAAAAAUCUCUUAUAUUGUAAAUCAAAUGAAUUCUUAUAGUGAAGAUCUAAAAGAUUAAAUUAUAGUAGAAUUUUUUUUAUAAAGUUUGUAUCUAAAAUUUGAUAUGAUUUCUACUACUAUAGAAGAAGCUAAGUAUACAAGUAUAUUGUCUGUUGAUGAAUUAAUGGGCUCAUUUUUUAUCUAUAAAUAAAAAAUAAAUAGAUGAAACUUUAGAACAUAUUCUUCAAAUGAAAAUAGAUUAGAAGAAAAUAAAAAAAAAUUAAAAAUCAAAUCUCAAGGAAGAAAUUAAAAUGAUACAUGCUGCGAAUGAUCUUAUGCUCAAGAUUGAAGAUAAAAUUGAUCAAAUGAGAGUAGAAGAACUCUAAUAAGUAGUUCAGCAACUCUUAUUCAUAUAUCUAUACAAAAAAACUAAAUUCUUCAUCAUAUAAUCAAUUAUGAAACCAUUGAAUUCUUUCUACUUAGCACAAAUUCUCUUAUAUAUCCUAUCAUAUAAAUCAUAAAGUAAUUAUCUAUUUUUUCUCACAUAAAUAUAAAAUAAAAAAAAAUAUAUAAUAUUUAUAAAAGAAUCAAACAUAAUUAUUAGAAAUUUUUUUCUUCAUGAUACUCUUUCGUUUAUUGAGAUUUAGUUUCCUCCUAAUACAUUUGCUCUACGAACAUGAGCAACAACGUGGAACAUAAGAUUUAUAUCGAGCAUCUUAUAAAACCACUAUCAAAACCUUUUCCUUUUCAUUGGGAAAAUUGAUCCAUAGGGAAGGGAUGAGAAGGACUAAAGUCAACACGCUACGUAGAUUGAUCCAAGUGCGUGACACGUCAUUUAUCAAUGAGUAGUAUGUUUUCCUUCGUGGGCACAAAACCCACGAAGCUUAAUAUGGUGGUGGAAUAUGUGAAUUAGGAGAGGACUUUUGUGGGGGAGGCACAAAGCUAUUAUAAUUGUUUGUUUCUUCUUCCGUCUCAUCAGCCUUAUCUUAGUCACUAGCUUUAAGGAUAAGUAAGAGGUGAGAGCAAUGCUAAUGACUUUGGAGGACGAAAUAAGAAGAUGAGAUGUUGGCUAAACUGUGGCCGGUGCCAUAUAAUGUGAAACAGAUCAAAGUGCGGGUGUUCUAUAUAUAACACUGCACGCCAUGGCAAAGAUGCAUGCAUGUCUUGGAGCACCCGUACGUGUGGCCCUCACACGCACAGCCGUGCAUUGUGCUCGACGACUUUGAAACUAUGAGAAUGUCAACGGGAGAUCACAGGGAUUUAUCAUCCGAGGUCAACGGUUCAAAAUAAUAAUGGAAGCAUUUGACAAUUUCUUGGCCUUUUCUGAUGACAGAGUUGUGAAAGAAAGAAAAUUUGGAGCGGGGGGAAGAGAAGGAAGAGAAGAAGAAAAAGGAGAAGAGACGGGAGACGAUACAGAGAGAAGAAGCAAGGAAGAAAAGAGAGAGAGAGAGAGAGGUUUGAGAAAUAGAAGAGAAGAGAAAAAGAUGAAAAGGAAAAGAAAAUAAACAAUUAGAGAAAAUAUAUAGAGGAUUCGAUUAGGUAUAAAGAUGAAUUCAGAUAAGUUCAGAAAAAUAAAUUAGAUUUUCAUUUUGGAUUACCGAUUUUGAUGAAUCCUGAUAUUCUUAUUUAAUUUGAUAUUUAAAUCGUGAAUAAAAUUAAAAAAAAAUGAUAGAUGAUGAAAAAAUAAGAACAUAAAACAAAAUUAUAUGCUUGUGUCGUUGUUAUGUAACUCGGGUAAGUAUCUAAUUUGGGUAAGUAUUAAUACAUAUGUUUGGAAUCAAUAAAUGCUUACGCUUGACGUGUCUUACAAAUCUAUGUUAUUUAAAAUUAUUGCAAAGGAAUUUAACUUUUGAUAAUUCGAGAAAGUAUAUAAUUUGAACUGCGAUUUAUUAUUUUAUAAAUUUUUAGAUAAUUUGUAUUUAAAUUUAUAUUAUAUAUAUAUAUAUAUCUAAUGUUAUAUAUAUUUUUAAAAUGAUAUAUGAUUGCAUCAGUUUUGAAAUAACAUUAAAAAAAUAUUUAAACUUUAUACAUUAGAAUAUAUUUUAGGAACCAAUUUCUUUUAGACCUUACCAAUAUGUUACCUAUAUCAUGCGAGUUAAGCAUAAUUCUAAGCAAUAUUUCAUUAUCGUAGCUAUUGAUUUUACUGUGACUUCUAUUCUAAUAUGUACACCCUAACCAUAUUUAUGUUUAUAAACUGUUAACUACAUUUAUAUAAAUUAUAGUUUUUGUAACAUAAUAUUUUAUGCUUUGAUAUAUGACAAUAGCUAUACAUAUAUUUUUUAUUAUAAAAAUAUAUUUACUUGUGUCUUAAUCAGAAAAGUAUCAUAAGUAUUUUAUGCGAUUUAAAAUAUACGUAUGUCAUUCUGAAAAGUAUUCAUGCAUUUUAUUUCAACAAGUUACGAUUCUAAAAUGCUUAUGAUUCUAAAAUACAUAUAAAAUUUAAGUUUUGUUAUAAACUAUAUGGGCAUAAAGAAAAUAUUUGAUAUCAAUACAUAAUUUAAAAACAUAUAAAGAGUUUAUAUGUUUUUAAAAAUAUAUUUAUGAUAAAUUUUAAUUGGUAUGCGAAUAACGAUGUUUACUAAGUCUUAAUUGCUCAUAUCAUUAUCUCUCAAUUUUUUAGAGUUAUACAGAAAAUGCAUAAUGGAUCAAUUAUUGACUAAAUUAUAUAAUUAAUUUAUUAAAUAAAUUACGAAUAUUUUAUGGGUGAAGUAAUUAUUGAUUGGCUUAUGUGGUAAAUGGUCUGAAUAAGAUUUUAUUAUGGUUUUGGCCUUUCACCUAUAGGAUUAUAGUGUUGUACUAUUCCUUACUUUUCCAUUGGCCGUGGCAUUACAAUUCCAAGAAGGACUUUCAACAUUAAGGAGUCUAUUCAUCUACAAGCAAUUUGAUAUAUGUUUUGGAUAUUAAAGUAUGAUUUGGCAUGCCAAUUAACAUUCAAGUUAUUGUCAUAUAUAUAUAUAUAUAUAUAUAUAUAUAUAUAUAUAUAUAUAUAUAUAUAUAUAUAUAUAUAUAUGAGAUUUGUAUAGUCAUUCAUGAUGAAAUUUUGGGUGAUCUGAUUGAAUGAGAUUAAUGAUUUAUUAUGAUUUUUUAAAUUUAAUCUAUAUUAAAAGUAGAUAAAGAUUGAUUUAUCAGGAUUUGAUAAGUAUAAUAUCAUUAAUUUUAACUUAAAUAUUUUAAGCUAGUGAUUUACACUUCAACAUCUUUUGUUACAAGAGUUUAAUGAAUGUACUAUUCAUAACUAUCGCUUGAUAAUAAUAAUAAUAUAUCACAACACUUGCAUGAACGAACAUAAUCACUGAUAAAAGAAAUAUCACAAAAAAACAAUGACAAAAAGGAGUUAAUAAUUAUUUAGCUCGUCAAAUUCUUAUCCUUUUCUUACCAUAGAUAAUUGUCAAAGAAAAAUGAAAGCAUAUUAAAACCAUCAUGGUGGAAAUUAGAAAUCAGAGUCUUAAAAAAAUUAUUUUUAGAAAGAGGCUUGCUUGACGAUGAGAUAGUGGUAAUCAAGGAAUGGGCCUACUUAUCUAUUAUAAGUUUUGUUUAUAAAAAUUAUUUGACGUGUAUAUAUAUAUAUAUAUAUAUAUAUAUAUGUAUGUAUAUCUGAGUCUUGUAUAAUUAUUGCUGAUGAUGAAGUCAUUGAUUGAGAUUAUUGAUUUACUGUGAUCAUCAGAUAGAUUUAUACAUAGUUGAUGUGUAUAUUAUUAUUAAUUUUAAUUUUAAUAUUAUAAGUCAACGAUUCAGACUAAAAAAAGUUACUACAGUAGCUCCAGAUGAUAUGUCUUAGGUCAAGUUCGGACCAAAAUGCAGUAAGAUAUCAGAAAUCCACAGCUUGAUUGAGGCCUUGAAUAAUUUGACAUGACAAACUUUAGGUUGAAAAUUGCUGGUAAUUUCAACCAUAUCUUUCAUGCCAAUUUGAUACGAAGAGAAAGAGAAAGAGAGAGAGAGAGAGAGUACUCUCUCUCUUUCUCUCUAGAGUACUCUCUCUCUCUCUCUCUCUGUAUAUAGUUUGAUCAAUAGACAAACAUUUAAUUAGGUCUAUUACGAUUUGAAGUAUGUAAGCAUUGGAAUGGAAGAGUGCAGCAUAAAGCUACCAUAAAAGGUGUUCGUCUUUAACCGUGAAGCUUCAGCUUGAGAACUAGUGUUGGUCUGCAGUAGGUCAUCCACCUUGGAGGGGUAUCGAAUCCUCGCCAUGCCGAAGUCUGUAGUAGGGCAUGUACUCGUAGACCAGAAACCUUUCGUCUCUGUCGCAGCAGAAGCCACGAAGACGAACAAGAUUGACAUGCUGAACCGCACCCAGUGUGCUCACUUCUGCUCAGAAUUGCUUCUCGCCCUGCCUGAGCACACUUCGAGCUUCUUCACGGCUACCACGGCCGAGUCUGGCAGAGUGCCUUUGUAGACAACGCCAAAGCCUCCACCUCCCAGCUUCUCAGAGAAGUUCUUGGUGGCACGCUGCAAAUCGCUGUAUGGAAAUGGGAUCAAAGAAGCAUCUGCUUGCUUUGACGUUUGGGUUAUUUUCCUUCUUCGACAAGCCCAAAUUAGGACGAAGACGGCGACAAAAGAGAUGACGACUCCUGCAGCAGCUAUUCCUAUGACGAUUCCUGUAGUCAGCUUAUGAGAACUACCGCUCGAACUGGGGAGAUCGGUGGUGGCAAGGCGGAUGUAAAGAGGACCACCACCCUCUUUGUCACCAUCAUCAAGCUGCCGAAGGAUCCGAAGAGCCCCGCUCCAAAUCGUGCAUCCAUUUUGGAAGGAGUAUGCGGCNNNNNNNNNNNNNNNNNNNNNNNNNNNNNNNNNNNNNNNNNNNNNNNNNNNNNNNNNNNNNNNNNNNNNNNNNNNNNNNNNNNNNNNNNNNNNNNNNNNNNNNNNNNNNNNNNNNNNNNNNNNNNNNNNNNNNNNNNNNNNNNNNNNNNNNNNNNNNNNNNNNNNNNNNNNNNNNNNNNNNNNNNNNNNNNNNNNNNNNNNNNNNNNNNNNNNNNNNNNNNNNNNNNNNNNNNNNNNNNNNNNNNNNNNNNNNNNNNNNNNNNNNNNNNNNNNNNNNNNNNNNNNNNNNNNNNNNNNNNNNNNNNNNNNNNNNNNNNNNNNNNNNNNNNNNNNNNNNNNNNNNNNNNNNNNNNNNNNNNNNNNNNNNNNNNNNNNNNNNNNNNNNNNNNNNNNNNNNNNNNNNNNNNNNNNNNNNNNNNNNNNNNNNNNNNNNNNNNNNNNNNNNNNNNNNNNNNNNNNNNNNNNNNNNNNNNNNNNNNNNNNNNNNNNNNNNNNNNNNNNNNNAGCUCUUCUGGUUGCAGAUGCCAAAGGCACCGCAGAGAGAAUAGACAUCGCAGUGAGCUAAUGGUUGCGUGAAGACUGUCUGCCAUUCCUGGGUCGUGUUGAGCCAGAACCACUGCAUGCCCUGCCCGGCUAAGUCGAUCACGUAGUGAGUUAUGAAAGCACUAUCGGUGAUCGUGUACGUAGCGAACUUCCGGUCACUGUUGUCGACGAAGGUGAAGUUGAACGCAGUGCUUUCUUUGGUUCCAGGGACUCCGAUAAAGUACUGGCCGUUCCAGAGCCCGCUACUCCAAUAGAUUUCAGAUCCAUUCGACAGGAUAACAUACUGGUUGGAGCCGUCAGGGUCCAUGCACUAAGCGAACGGCCCGGGCGCAGGGUUCUCCGGGUUCUCCCACGAGGUGAUGCUCUGGUACUCCCCUGUGAUCUUGUUCACUCCAAGCCAUCCUCCCGGCAUCCAUGUGUCGGUGGGAUGAUCGAAGCUCUGCCAGAGUAGAGUGGACGAGUUCGACCCAUCUUUCAGCAAAAGAUUUCCGGUGUCGAGAAGGACCGCCACGCUGGCGUUCGAGGUUGAUAUGGUGGAGUUGGAAGACCAGUCGGGGACUUUGAAGCUGUUGAGGACGACUAAAUUGACAUCAUCGGAGAGAUGCAACUCUGCACCGGAGGCGUUGGAGACGGGGUUGCCUCUGUUUGCCACCCAAACAACAGUCUGCCCCGGGAGUUUCUUGUACCAUAUGCCUACGUAGUAGUUGCCGGAGUUACCUGGAGUGAAGAAGCCCAGCUCAAAGUUGCCUUCCUUGGCGAUCAUCGUCUGGCUUCC
rnacentral:lncRNA from 1 species